GACGAACGCUGGCGGCGUGCCUAAUACAUGCAAGUUGAGCGAUGAAGAUUGGUGCUUGCACCAAUUUGAAGAGCAGCGAACGGGUGAGUAACGCGUGGGGAAUCUGCCUUUGAGCGGGGGACAACAUUUGGAAACGAAUGCUAAUACCGCAUAACAACUUUAAACAUAAGUUUUAAGUUUGAAAGAUGCAAUUGCAUCACUCAAAGAUGAUCCCGCGUUGUAUUAGCUAGUUGGUGAGGUAAAGGCUCACCAAGGCGAUGAUACAUAGCCGACCUGAGAGGGUGAUCGGCCACAUUGGGACUGAGACACGGCCCAAACUCCUACGGGAGGCAGCAGUAGGGAAUCUUCGGCAAUGGACGAAAGUCUGACCGAGCAACGCCGCGUGAGUGAAGAAGGUUUUCGGAUCGUAAAACUCUGUUGGUAGAGAAGAACGUCGGUGAGAGUGGAAAGCUCAUCAAGUGACGGUAACUACCCAGAAAGGGACGGCUAACUACGUG
rnacentral:rRNA from 1 species